rnacentral:rRNA from 1 species
CAGCAGCCGCGGGAAUACGUAGGUCCCGAGCGUUAUCCGGAUUUAUUGGGCGUAAAGCGAGCGCAGGCGGUUAGAUAAGUCUGAAGUUAAAGGCUGUGGCUUAACCAUAGUACGCUUUGGAAACUGUUUAACUUGAGUGCAGAAGGGGAGAGUGGAAUUCCAUGUGUAGCGGUGAAAUGCGUAGAUAUAUGGAGGAACACCGGUGGCGAAAGCGGCUCUCUGGUCUGUAACUGACGCUGAGGCUCGAAAGCGUGGGGAGCGAACAGGAUUAGAUACCCGCGUAGUCCCUGUCUCUUAUACC